UACGUAGGUGGCUACCUAAGCACGAGGUUUAAGGCUAUGGCUUAACCAUAGUUCGCCUUGUGAACUGGGCUGCUUGAGUGCAGGAGAGGAAAGCGGAAUUCCUAGUGUAGCGGUGAAAUGCGUAGAUAUUAGGAGGAACACCAGUGGCGAAGGCGGCUUUCUGGACUGUAACUGACACUGAGGUACGAAAGCGUGGGGAGCAAACA
rnacentral:rRNA from 1 species